AUUGAACGCUGGCGGCAGGCCUAACACAUGCAAGUCGAGCGGAUGAAGGGAGCUUGCUCCUGGAUUCAGCGGCGGACGGGUGAGUAAUGCCUAGGAAUCUGCCUGGUAGUGGGGGAUAACGUCCGGAAACGGGCGCUAAUACCGCAUACGUCCUGAGGGAGAAAGUGGGGGAUCUUCGGACCUCACGCUAUCAGAUGAGCCUAGGUCGGAUUAGCUAGUUGGUGGGGUAAAGGCCUACCAAGGCGACGAUCCGUAACUGGUCUGAGAGGAUGAUCAGUCACCCGGGAACGGAGACACGGUCAAACCUCCUACGGGGGGCAGGAGGGGGAAAUUUUGGACAAGGGGCGAAAGCCUAACCCAGCCAUGCCGGGGGUGGGAAAAAGGUUUUCGGUUUUUAAAGCACUUUAAGUUGGGAGGAAGGGCAGUAAGUUAAUACCUUGCUGUUUUGACGUUACCAACAAAAUAAGCACCGGCUAACUUCGU
rnacentral:rRNA from 1 species